rnacentral:rRNA from 1 species
CUACGGGUCGCUGCAGUGAGGAAUUUUGCGCAAUGGGGGAAACCCUGACGCAGCAACGCCGCGUGAGUGAUGAAGGCUUUCGGGUCGUAAAGCUCUGUCAAGUGGGAAGAACUUAUUUAUGUCUAAUAUACAUAAAUACUGACGGUACCACUAAAGGAAGCACCGGCUAGCUCCGUGCCAGCAGCCGCGGUAAUACGGGGGGUGCAAGCGUUAUUCGGAAUCACUGGGCGUAAAGGGCGCGCAGGCGGCCUGGUAAGUCAAAUGUGAAAGCCCGGGGCUUAACCCCGGAAGUGCAUUUGAUACUGUUAGGCUUGAGUAUGGGAGAGGGAAGUGGAAUUCCUGGUGUAGAGGUGAAAUUCGUAGAUAUCAGGAGGAACACCGGUGGCGAAGGCGACUUCCUGGACCAAUACUGACGCUGAGGCGCGAAGGCGUGGGGAGCAAACAGGAUUAGAUACCCCAGUAGUC